GACGAACGCUGGCGGCGUGCUUAACACAUGCAAGUCGAACGGGUCUGCCCUGUUUUUUGCGGGGUGGGUCAGUGGCGAACGGGUGAGUAACACGUGAGUAACCUGCCCCUCACUUCUGGAUAACCGCUUGAAAGGGUGGCUAAUACGGGGUGUUCUGGCUGUGCCGCAUGGUGUGGCUGGGAAAGAUUCACUUUUGUGGUGUUUUGGUGGGGGAUGGGCUCGCGGCCUAUCAGCUUGUUGGGGGGGUGAUGGCCUGCCAAGGCUUUGACGGGUAGCCGGCCUGAGAGGGUGGGCGGUCACACUGGGACUGAGAUACGGCCCAGACUCCUGCGGGAGGCAGCAGUGGGGGGUAUUGCACAAUGGGCGGAAGCCUGAUGCAGCGACGUCGCGGGAGGGAUGGAGGCCUGCGGGUUGUGAACCUCUUUCGCCGGUGAAGAAGGUCCUGCUCUUUGGGGUGGGGUUGACGGUAGCCGGGUUAUGAAGCGCCGGCUAACUACGUG
rnacentral:rRNA from 1 species